GAGCGGACGCCGCCGAGUCGCCCUCCGGGCGAGCCGGGGACCCACCGCAGCACUGGGGUGAAUCCGCUCCUGGACCCGUGUCCGGGAGGGGUAGGGCCGCUUCCCGCCCGAACCCGUCAGCUAACCCGGUAGGCGGCCAUCGGGAGAAACG
rnacentral:sRNA from 1 species